AUGAGUUGUAAAUGUGUAAAAUAGUUGAAAUUAUGAGUUGCUGUAGUUAUGAAAAUGGUUCAUCUAGACUCAAGGAGUAAAGAAAUGUGAUAAAAAUUAAUUUACGAGCAUUGAGGCAAAAGUGCAAAUAUGCAAAAGUUUAGGGGUCAAAAUGAAAAUUUGUAAAAAUAUGAUUUUUAGACCCAUAUGAAUAUUGUGACUGAUUAUUAGGCUAAAUUGAUGUUAUAGAUGAUGAAAAUUGAAAUUUGGACCUAGAACGGAAAGAAAUCAAUUUAUGGACGAGUAUGUCUUUUCACCUUUGUGGUAUCGAGAGUUUUCAGGUUAGCUCGGGUUGGAAGCCGUCAGAGAUAUUAUCACACUGUCGAGUUAACGCUAUCGGCGUAAGUAAACUCAAGUGAUUCUAGUCUAUGGCAUGUAUAGGGUUUUAAUGUGAGUAUGUAAUAUUAUGAUUUAGCCAAAGGCAUUAGCUUGUUAUUAAGGUAGUAUUGUAAUAUUAUGAUUUAGCCAAAGGCAUUGGCUUGUUAUUAAGGUAGUAUUAGUCAUGUAAAUUGGCCUAUGUCGGCUAAUAUCGUUAUGGGCCCAUAUGAUUAUUCUUAUGCAUGUAUGUUAUUAUCUCUUGUGAUGUGGCUUACAACAUGUAUGCCUAGAGAUUGAAUUGAGAUUCAUUGAUGAGCUAAUAACUAAUGCAGGAUUAAGUGAUUGGUAAAUAGUUAAUAA